rnacentral:rRNA from 1 species
UACGUAGGGCGCGAGCGUUGUCCGGAAUUAUUGGGCGUAAAGAGCUCGUAGGCGGCCGGUUGCGUCUGCUGUGAAAUCCCGGGGCUUAACCCCGGGCGUGCAGUGGAUACGGGCCGGCUGGAGGCAGGCAGGGGAGAAUGGAAUUCCCGGUGUAGCGGUGAAAUGCGCAGAUAUCGGGAGGAACACCGGUGGCGAAGGCGGUUCUCUGGGCCUUACCUGACACUGAGGAGCGAAAGCGUGGGGAGCGAACAGG